rnacentral:rRNA from 1 species
GAUGAACGCUGGCGGCGUGCCUAAUACAUGCAAGUCGAGCGAACAGACGAGGAGCUUGCUCCUCUGACGUUAGCGGCGGACGGGUGAGUAACACGUGGAUAACCUACCUAUAAGACUGGGAUAACUUCGGGAAACCGGAGCUAAUACCGGAUAAUAUAUUGAACCGCAUGGUUCAAUAGUGAAAGACGGUUUUGCUGUCACUUAUAGAUGGAUCCGCGCCGCAUUAGCUAGUUGGUAAGGUAACGGCUUACCAAGGCAACGAUGCGUAGCCGACCUGAGAGGGUGAUCGGCCACACUGGAACUGAGGCACGGUCCAGACUCCUACGGGUGGCAGCAGUAGGGAAUCUUCCGCAAUGGGCGAAAGCCUGACGGAGCAACGCCGCGUGAGUGAUGAUGGUCUUCGGAUCGUAAAACUCUGUUAUUAGGGAAGAACAAAUGUGUAAGUAACUAUGCACGUCUUGACGGUACCUAAUCAGAAAGCCACGGCUAACUACGUG